rnacentral:rRNA from 1 species
UGGGGAAUAUUGGGGCAAUGGGGGGCGAAAGCCUGACCCAGCGACGCCGCGUGAGGGAAGAAGGUCUUCGGAUUGUAAACCUUUGUAGACAGGGACGAAGAAAUGACGGUACCUGUAAAGUAAGCCACGGCUAACUACGUGCCAGCAGCCGCGGUAAUACGUAGGUGGCAAGCGUUAUCCGGAUUUAUUGGGUGUAAAGGGUGAGUAGGCGGGCUGACAAGUCAGAUGUGAAAUGUUCGGGCUUAACCUGAGAACUGCAUUUGAAACUGCCAGUCUUGAGUGUCGGAGGGGUAAUCGGAAUUCCCGGUGUAGCGGUGAAAUGCGUAGAUAUGACGCAGAACUCCGAUUGCGAAGGCAGCUUUCCAGCGCGCUACUGACGCUGAGGCACGAAAGCGUGGGGAUCGAACAGGAUUAGAUACCCUGGUAGU